UACGUAGGGUGCAAGCGUUGUCCGGAAUUAUUGGGCGUAAAGAGCUCGUAGGCGGUUUGUUGCGUCGGCUGUGAAAUCCCGAGGCUCAACCUCGGGUCUGCAGUCGAUACGAGCAAACUAGAGUGUUGCAGGGGUAAAGGGAAUUUCCAGUGGAGCGGUGAAAUGCGUAGAUAUUGGAAAGAACACCGAUGGCGAAGGCACUUUACUGGGCUAUUACUAACACUCAGAGACGAAAGCUAGGGUAGCAAAUGGG
rnacentral:rRNA from 1 species